ensembl:lncRNA
GCUUUAUGGCAUCAUCAUUUUUAUUUCAGUCAUGAAGCUAACAGAGAGCAUUAGCUGAAUCAUACCGUCUCGUAAGCAAAACCGGUCAUGAUAUUAUAAUAAUAUUAUGAAUACUAUUCUUAUAUAAACUAAAAUAUAAUGUGCACUUUUUUGUCUAGAAGGGGGGAAAAAUCAUUAUUUUACCCGUUUAACUGCGUUCACUACUAUUCACUGUUAAAUAGCGCCUCCUGCUGCAUCCGGAGCUGAAGUACAGCUGGUUACUGUACAAUGGGAGUGGUGGUGCCCCUCCACAGAUGUACGUGCUGUUAUUAAUUUUUAUCUUUAGGUAAACAAAUUACGUUAAAAAUAAAGUAACUGAGUAAAUUAUAAUGAAACUUAACACCUUUUCAGUUUUAUUAGCGUUUAUUAUUAGUAAUUGUUAAGUUUUGUUUUUAGUUCAGUUUCAUUUCAGGUAGUCUCCAUUGGGAAACUGCUCAUUGAAGUUCAGUUUUAAUUCUAAUUAAAUGUUAAGUUUCAGUUUAAUUUUCUCGUAUACAAUGUUAGGUUUUGUUUAGGUUAGUCUCAGUGUAGGUUUUCAUUUAUUACAAUGUGUGCUAUAUUUUUAUUGUCUUCUAUUUGGAUUAGACUAUCUAUAGUAUCUAAUAGUUUUGCUUUUGUGGUACAACUUGUAAUGUUUACUCAAUCCAGCAAUAGAGUUGAAUUAAAAAUACGUUUCCAUAAUUUUUCUGAUUAAGAUGUUCAAAGUAGUAGUUUAUAAAAAUAGUAGUUAUAGUUUUUGUCUGCAUUAUUGUGAAAAAUAACUCUAUACCAUUCAAGAACUAUCACUAGUUCUGUUUUGCAAAUGUGAGGUUUUUUAUUGGGGUGUGUUCAAAUUUAAGAUAGUCAAAAAACCCGCACACACUUUAAAUAUAUAUAUAUAUAUAAUCUUUACAGCAGUCUUUAUGUAUGUCCAUAUUUUGGACAAUGAAACUUUUAGCAAAUUUGAGAUGUUUAAGCCAAAAGCCCAUGAUGUGAUGAUUUGAGAUGACAUUUGGCAUUUAGGAAAUGAUGACAGUUCAAAGAAAACACUUUCAUUUGUUUCCUAAAUUAUCUGAAAAAGUUCAUUCUGGUCAUGUGAAAUUUGUAUUGAAAGGGUCUUAUAUUUAUAUAUGUGGUAACUGACCCAGUUUAAUAGACUGGUAGAAAAUAGGAAAGAAAAUUAUGCCUUACUGGCUGUAACAACCUUGUGUUAGUUUUUGUGGCUGACUAAUCAGAUAUUUGUUUUUGUCUAAUUUGUCCUCAGUUGGAAGUCGUCCCUCUGCCUUAGCAGGCUCUGAAAAACUCUGUCAUGAUACAGGAAAAAAUUUCUGUUCCUGUCCAGGUCCUGCACGUUGAUUAUUCGAGUCACCAGAGCUUCUUGUAUGGCUGGAGACUCACAGGGGUGAUGCUGCACACUGUGACUUAUGUUUCUCGAGGGCUCGAUAACUAACAGUCCAAGCAUGCUGCCUUCCUCCUUCCUGCUGUAUCUGGAUGAAGUGUUGAGGGUGUCUCCUGUCAUCAUGGUGUCAUUGCUUCCAUUUAGGACAUUAAAUCCAAAGUCUCCACCUGAUUCAUCAGUUUUACAGCCUCUGUUAAUUCCUGCAGUUGAACUGGGUGUGGUAGAUUUAUUACUUGGACCAACCUGGCUACCAUUAACAAGGAGGCUGUUAGAGCAUGUCAUAUUGGUUACAGUAGAUGUGUUAGCAUGUUUAGGUCUGUUGGCAGCACUGGUUCUUGGUUUUUGUGGACCAAGAGCUGGAGUCUCCUGGAUGUUUGCACGUAGGUAGGCUGUAUAGCCCCGAACCAGGUGACCUAACCCCAUCUUAUAAGAAAUGCGCAUUGAUUCAACUGAUCCUGAUGGCACAGACUGCAGACGGGCCUGUAGGAAGAGGAAAGUGCUUUAAAAUCAACUCAAUACCUCCCACUCAAACCUCUCUGUAGCUGUGGUUUUGUGCCAUCAUCUAAAGGGAGAGAAAGAACCUGCAAUAUGGGAUAUAAACACUUACCUACAUACAAAGUAGAUUUUACAAUGUAGAGGCGUACAGAUGCAAUACAGCAAACACAUACUAUCAUAACCUGAGCUGGAUGUGUUUUCAUCUAUCUGUCCUGACCUGGUGGAUUCUCAUGUGCAGGUGAAUUGCAGCUCCUGUCAGCCACUGCUGCAUCGACACUGAACUCAUUCUUUUCUUUGUGGUCAUCCUCUCAUAAUGGUCGAGAAGCUCAAAUUUCAGCCAGUUAUCGUAGAGCUCUGUGGUCUCAGCCAUCUGAUCCUGGUUGUUGGCGAUGCCUGGGAUAAGGCUGAGGAAGCUGUGGAUAAUCCAGCCGAUUCUUGAUGAGCUGCUGAUGCCAAAAAUCCUCUUAGGCCGGGAUGGUUGAGUUAACGAGGGACCCUCUGUUGAUCCUUGUGCUCGGACCUGUUUGGAAUACGAAGCACAUUUUAUAACACAAACUGUCAUGCUGGCCCAAACUGGGACAGAAAAUGAGGUAGUAUUUGUGUCAAUGGAGUACUUCAGACAUUAAAGAAAGACACCUCAUAACUCCAAACACAGAAAAUUUUUUGCCAAAAGUGGGAAAAAACAAAAGGCCUUUUCAUUUCAUGAAUUUGUGACUCCUUGGAUACAUUCCAGUAGUCCAUUUUGCUUAGAGAGGUUUCUAACUGAGUGAAAUGACACCAAAGUAUCUGUAUGGCAGUCAUCAUUUGAGCAAAGAGUGACAUACAUUCUCCAAAUGCUUAGGAAAGGAGCUUCCAUAGAGCAGCGGUCCCCAACCUUUUUUGCGCCACGGACCGGUUUAUGCCCGACAAUAUUUUCACGGACCGGCAAUGAGGUGUCGCGGAUGAAUACAACAAAAUAAAACUAGUGCCGGUACCGAAAAAAAGAAGAUUUAUUCAUAACACACGUGAAAAGACCCAGGAAAACCGAGUUAACGAUAAAACGAUAACAAAAUAACGUUGAAAACCGAUAAAAACCCUGAAAACCAUACAUUUCACACCUGAGCCUCAACUCUCGCGGCCCGGUACCAAACGACUCACGGACCGGUACCGGUCCGAGGCCCGGGGGUUGGGGACCGCUGCCGCAUGCCAUAGAGGAUUCAACUCUAUCCACAAUCACUCUCCUUUGUCCUCCAGAUAUCUUUUAGGAAUUGAAACAUCUGGUGCAGGAGGGAAAUAAAAAUACUCUUCAAAAGUAGAUCUAAGCCCCAGAAUUUGAAUGUUUGUCCCUCGGGAGAUGCCACAGGUUUUUAAAACAGAACCUUCCUGCUGCAAGACCAUUAAACCACUGCCAGUAUAUUUAUAGCCAACUCAAGUAAGUAAUCUAAUUACACUAUCAAGUACAUAUAGUUGGUUAGUCCUUUGCUCACUCCCUGUUUAGUCUGUGGUCCAUUUUCUUCCACUUGUGCACUUCAGCAUCAUGGGCUGGGUGGCUGAAGCCAGGCUGGACUGGUAAUCGGGCAUACUGGGCAUUUGCCCAAUGGGUCAAUAUAAUUGUUUUUUUCUUUGUCGAUAUAAUUAUACAUGCUACAGACCGGCUGCUGUGCACCCACCCUAGAAGCACUGACAGCAGCCCAUUGGUUCAUUUUUAUUACUGACUCUGGAUUGUCUGAUCAAAUCUCUUAAAACAACUGGCGCUUCCCCUUUUCCCCUGUGUGCUCAUGGUAAGAGGUAAGGAACUAGAUGUAGGGACAGUUUUUAGGAGGGAAGAAAUUCAAGUAAAAUGAAUAGCUACUAUGAUCAUGAGCCAUUUCUAAAGUGUAGCCUGUAAUUGUCACAUAUUGCACUACAGUCCAACUAAGAUGUCCUAAGCCAAAAUAAAAUGCUUUUCAUUUUAUGUAUUUAUUUAUUUAUAAAUAUAGUAUGGUGGUCAAAACAAAACAGAAAAUGUUAAACUAUAAUCCUGAAAACAAAACCUAAAAUUUGACUUAAUAACUCAAAAUUUCAUUUUAUUUUCUUGUUUUUGAGUCAUUUUCUUAGAAUUUUCAUUUAGGAAGUCAACAUUUGAAAUUUUGUAUGACAUAAAAAAUAUAUAAAUAAAAUAAAAUUUUGUGGUAUAAACAGGCUUCCAUAAUUGUACAAACAGCAAAAUGAGAAAGGAUGAUAUACUAAAUAGAAGGAAGUAAAAGGUAUAAUAUUGGGGGUGGGGGUAGUGUAGGAAGUAAAAAAGCAACAAAACCACAUGAAGAUUGGACCUUCAAACUAAAACAGGAUGUAAAGUGAAAGUGGGAACACAGACACAGGGGAAUGCAAAGAGGGGGAAAAGUGAUGAUAAUAAAAAUAAUCUCAUACUAACAUUAGACAAAAUGCAACAGUUUUAUCUACCUGUUGGGCAACCUGAUCAAAAAGCAUGGACAGAGCCAGAGCAACAACCCCCACUCCUCCACAGAUUACCCUGCUGCCUCCCAGCUGUGCCGUCAGGUUGAGGUUGAACGUGCUCUGCUGCUCCAGGCUCAUGCUCCGCUGUAAGAAGUCGUACUGAUGCUGCAACGCUGCUGACGAGUCCAGCGACAGGAAGGUGGUAAGGACAGGAUCCACGGAGAUAUCAGGGAUGAUGCUGGCAUCUCGAGCCACCGAGAAGAGCUCCUGGACCGUGGCUCGAGAAGGAAGACACAAACUGCGGCCCGUCAGGAUCAUGGCUGAAUCUGUCUGUGUGUGCUCAGUGUUAUCAGUGUUUCUAACCCACUGUGUGUUUAUUUGACCCAGUCAGAAGGAUGUUAUCAGCACGGCCAGUCCUAUAAAAGAACUCAUGAGCAAAAACACUAAUGAGCGAACCAUUUACUCAAAUAAAACAAGGUUUUU